CGUCGGCGGAGAUGUCGGCCUCCGGUGCCCGAGGCCUGCGGGCCACCUACCACCAGCUCCUCCAUAAACUGGAGCUGAUGCUGCCCGAGAAAUUGAGGCCGUUGUACAACCAUCCAGCAGGUCCCAGAACAGUUUUUUUCUGGGCUCCAAUUAUGAAAUGGGGGUUGGUGUGUGCUAGAUUGGCUGAUAUGGCCAGACCUGCAGAAAAACUAAGCACAGCUCAAUCUGCUGUUUUGAUGGCUACAGGGUUUAUUUGGUCAAGAUACUCACUUGUAAUUAUUCCAAAAAAUUGGAGUCUGUUUGCUGUUAAUUUCUUUGUGGGGACAGCAGGAGCCUCUCAGCUUUUUCGUAUUUGGAGAUAUAACCAAGAACUAAAAGCUAAAGCACACAAAUAAAAGAGUUCCUGAUCACCUCAACAGUCUAGAUGUGGAUAUAACCAUUGGGACCUAGUUUAUUAUUUGGUUAUUGAUAAAGCAAAGCUAACUGUGCGUUUGGAAGGCACAAUAAAACUAACUGUAACUGGUAGGUAGUGCUUGAUUCAAUAGAAAAAUAAAGCAA